GGGGAUGUCGGGUUUCGACAGACGAACAGAUUGUUGAAUUGCAGGCCGAGGUGUCGGUAUGCACUCUCGUUAAACAACCGACAAAACAAUAGAUGCCAACAAACAGGCACCUGCUUACGCUUUCGCUGCUUAAUAACCAGUAGGCGUCGUCCGCCCAGUUUUUUCUCGUGGGAUUGGAACCGGGCGUCGAAAACACGAGGUGCUAUGACGGUGACCGCCC
rnacentral:tmRNA from 1 species